rnacentral:rRNA from 1 species
AACGAACGCUGGCGGCAUGCCUAACACAUGCAAGUCGAACGAGACCUUCGGGUCUAGUGGCGCACGGGUGCGUAACGCGUGGGAACCUGCCCUUAGGUUCGGAAUAACUCCCCGAAAGGGGUGCUAAUACCGGAUAAUGUCUUCGGACCAAAGAUUUAUCGCCUUUGGAUGGGCCCGCGUUGGAUUAGCUAGUUGGUAGGGUAAAAGCCUACCAAGGCGACGAUCCAUAGCUGGUCUGAGAGGAUGAUCAGCCACACUGGGACUGAGACACGGCCCAGACUCCUACGGGAGGCAGCAGGGGGGAAGAUUGGACAAUGGGCGAAAGCCUGAGCCAGCAAUGCCGCGUGAGUGAUGAAGGCCUUAGGGUUGUAAAGCUCUUUUACCCGGGAUGAUAAGGACAGUACCGGGAGAAUAAGCUCCGGCUAACUCCGG